rnacentral:rRNA from 1 species
CUGGCUCAGGACGACGCUGGCGGCGUGCCUAAUACAUGCAAGUCGAACGGUCUUUUCUAUGGAAGCUUGCUUCCACUGAAGAGAUAGUGGCGAACGGGUGAGUAACACGUGGGUAACCUGCCCAUAAGAGGGGGAUAACAUCCGGAAACGGGUGCUAAUACCGCAUAGCUUUCUUGAUCGCAUGAUCGGGAAAGGAAAGACGGCCUUUGUGCUGUCGCUUAUGGAUGGACCCGCGGCGUAUUAGUUAGUUGGUGAGGUAACGGCUCACCAAGACGAUGAUACGUAGCCGACCUGAGAGGGUGAUCGGCCACAUUGGGACUGAGACACGGCCCAAACUCCUACGGGAGGCAGCAGUAGGGAAUCUUCCGCAAUGGACGAAAGUCUGACGGAGCAACGCCGCGUGAGUGAAGAAAGGUUUUCGGAUCGUAAAACUCUGUUGUCAGAGAAGAACAAGUUGGAGAGUAACUGCUCCAGCCUUGACGGUAUCUGACCAGAAAGCCACGGCUAACUACGUGCCAGCAGCCGC